GUUUGUUUGCAGGAAGGCAAGUCUGUGGUAAAUCCUCCAGGAGAGGAGGCACCCCAGAAGCCCCAGUUGGUUCUCACUUCUCAGUGCAGCAGACUUUCCCUGGAGUGGGUGGAGUGAUGCCAAGCAGUGUCUUCCUCAGAUCUGGCUUUAUCUGUUUCUCAGCUGUGCUGUGACCUAGCCAAGGGACCUCACCAGAGCUGGACACAUGGAUCUGCCUGAUCUUGGAUGCUUAGCCUUCUAACCUCUGAGGACCGAACCCAGGGCCUUGCCCUUGCUAGGUAAGUGCUCUGCCACUGGGCUAAAUCCCCAACCCCUUAGCCUUAGUUCUUUGGGUAAGAAAACUUCUGUGAACACACUAAGAAUCUGGAUACACAGAAAAUACCCAGCUAUUCCUAGGAUUGAACUGUGACUCCAGAAUGAAGCUGAGCGCUCUCCUACCAUGACCAAUAUUACCUGGUACAACAAACUGCCAGAGAGCGCGCCUCUCUUCAGGGUUGCAGCAGGAGAGAGAGUUCUGACACUAUGUCUGUCUGUCACUCUGGGAGAUGGACCAGAUGAGACCUUCCACCAGGGGCCAGAGGAUCAAAGGCUAGCUUGCCACUGGACCCCAGCAGGACCGACUUAGACCCAGGAAAUGACACUAAGCCGGGUGGUGCUAUUGGAGGAACAGAGGGGCUGCAGCUGGCUCGGCACCAUGGCCAAAUGUGACAACCAGCUUAGAGUUGACACCAUAGGCUGGGGGUGAGAUGGGGCACAUCUAUGCCUUAGUUACUUCAGUCAGACUCCUCCCGUGAGAGGGCAAGGACCCCCACCCUCACCCCAUCCAGUUAGAGGCCUCUGCAUGGAGGCCACAUUCCCAGGAUACCUCUGUCCCAGCUGGGUGGAUCACUGGGAAAGGCUGGGCGUGUGCUUUUCCACAUCUAGACCUCUACAGUCCUCAGUGCGAGUCAGUGACAGGGAGGACUCAACCUUGAUUUGCCUAGAUCAGAGGAUAGAGUGGGAUCCUAGACAGCCUGGGUUGCUGGGUCAGUUAACUAGUGCUGUGUAACAAUCCAUCCAGACACAGUGGCAUAAAUUCAAACAGCCAAGCUGUUUCCAUUCGGGGUUCCAUCUGGUUGGAGUUGGGUGGUGACUGGGGCCCUGGCAGUCUCAAAUGCAUUGUUGCUUUGUGUCCAGCUCCUGUGUAGAGAAGGCUCAUCCAUUCAGGGCUCCUGGGUGCCCCCUCCUUCUUCUCCUUCCCUAGGGUCUACUCUCCAGGGUGAAAAACCUUCUUCUGGACCCUGGAAACAUCUAAGGGUCCUAAGAGAGACGGGCAGAAGCAGCAUGAGAAGAACUUAGCCAAGCUGCCAUCUUUCUUGCCUUGUGGAGAUGGCUAUCUCAGGAGGCUCUUUCUGUGGUACUGGUGGCAGGCAAAGCCUCUGGUUCGUGGUGGUCCAGAGCCGUGGAAGGCGAAGAAGUGAUAACAGAGCAAUAGAUCAGCUCAGAGGUAGCCAGAGUGGAGGAGAAGUGGGAACAACUUGGAAGCUGCAGGUUGUGUCUGGGGGUGGGAACUGGGAUGAGGAGGAAAAGGUCUCGGGGAGAGCAGUGAGGGAAGAGGUGGGCCAUUACAUACGUUCACUGGUGUGAAAAGUCCUUUCAGAGGUUGGAAAGGUGGCUCAGUGCUUAAGAGCGUGGAUGCCUUGGUUGCUCAGGAUUCGAUUAUCAGGCAGCUCAGAACCACCUGCAACUCCAGCCCCAGGGAGCCCCUGGCUUCCCAGGGCACCUGUGUUCACGUGCACAUACCCACACACAGACACACAUACACCUGACUUUAAAAAUCUCUUCACGUCUCUGGAAUUUUCUCACAUUUACGUAUUUGUUUGUUUUUAUGUGUGGGGGGCCGUGAAUGGGUGUGCACCUGCCGUGGUGUGGGUGUGGAGGUUAGAGAUAAGUUUUUCCUACCACAUGAGGUCCAGGUUGUCAGGCUUGGAAGGAAGCGCCUUCCAGCUGAGCCAUCAUUCCAGCCCUGUUUGGGGUUUUUAUUUAAAAACGAAAAGUAAGCAAACAAACAAAAACACGGACCUUGGUUAAGGGAUGAAUGUUUGUGUCCUCACCUAAUUUCUGUGUUGGCACCCAGCCGUAUGGCUGGAUUUGGAGCCAGGCUUUUGGGAGGUGAAUAAGGUCAGAUAAGUUCGUAGGUGGAGUCUUAAUAUGAUAAGGCUGGUGCCUUAUCAGACGAGAAAGGGACACCAGAGCCCCGCCCCCCAUCUCUGUGCAUCUAGGGGAAAGGCCGUGUGAGCCCCUAUGAGAAGGCGGUCACCUGCCAGUCACCGAGAGGGGCUCCCCAGGACACUUUGAUCUGGAAUCUCCAGCCUGCAGAAUAGUGAGAAUACAAUUCCAUUGUGGAAGCCACCAGCCUGUGGCAUUUUGUCCUGGCAGCUCCAGCAGAUGGACACAGCUGUCAGUUUACUUUUUAUGCUUGUGUGUGUGCGCGCGCGCGCGCGCGCGUGCGUGUGCGUGUGCGUGUGCGUGUGUGUGUGUGUGUGUGUGUGUGUGUGUUUUGAGAGCCUUUUGAUUCCCCAGGCUGCUUUGUACAGCCACUAGGGAGCCGCAGGGGUCUGUGUGAAUUCAUCAAAAUCGGAGCACGUAGGCUCCAGGCUGCUUACCUCAUGAGUCCCCACGUGAGGAUGGUCUCUACCUUGGCAAACCAGAGGCAGAAGUGACAGGAAACCAUCAGUGUCCUGAGAAGCUGGCUGUGAGUGGUAGACCUUCCCCCACCCAUGCCCAGGCAGAGGCCUCACCAUGUAUUCAUGAACUUAGCUUGCAGUGAGCCGAGCAGGCAAGAAUUUUUAUUUUGGAGUCACUGCUCAUAAGUUAUAGGGCUUGGGAAAGUUACUUCAAGUUGCCUGAGCCUCAGUUUCCUCCCCUGAAAUAUGGGGGUAAUAUCGUUAUCACCUCCUGGGGGUGUUGUGAGGUCCAAAAGAGCUUGCACACACACCAAACAUUUAGCACGGAGUAGCAUGAGAUAAUGCAACCCAGAGCUUGUGGGGGUGUAACCACCAAGUUCCAGGUCAAGAACGGCCAUUGUGAAGCAGCCUUUCAGAAUGAAUAUCAGGGGAAAGCAUGGCUUCUCUUCAACUCUCACUUGAAUGUGCUACAGUGGAGGGCAUUGACUCAUUUGCCUGCUGCCCUUGCAGGGGCAACAGGAACAGGGACCACUCAGGCAAGCCGUAGAAGCUGUGCCUGAAGCUAAGUGGAGCCCUCCCUUGGUGGUGGCUUUUUUGGAUCACUAGAGUUUCCAGUUCUGUUCCAGAGCCUAGAAAAUCAAUUUUCUUCAAGGAGAAGCUUUUGAAUUUUUAGCUGGUACAGAAACUGCAGCGGUUACACAAGAGCAGUCCAAGGUGGCCAGUUCGUGCCUCGGGCCAUUUGCUGGCCUGACUGAGGCAGCAUUGGAGGGAUGAGGGAGAGAGGGCUUCAUGGAAAUGGAGGCUGUGUUUUGGCUGAAAGACAAACCUUUGUUCUCACUGGAUGGUUUUUGGAGGGUGUGGCAGGAGGUGAGGCCACGUGCACAGAAAGCAGCUGUUAGCAUCCACGCUCUCUGCUCUGCACAUCAUCUGUCUGCCACUUCUCUCUGCAAAAUGUGUCUUCCAGAAAUACCCCGGCCGGGCGGUGGUGGCGCACGCCUUUAAUCC